CCCAAGAUCAGGACCUGAGCCAAAAUCCAGAGUCAGGACGCCCAACCGACUGAGCCACCCAGGUGCCCCUAAGUUGAAACCUUUCUAAGUUUACAUAUAGUUUGACAAUUUAAGAGAAUAUAAGCUUGACUGUUUUUGCAUGCUUAAUUUAUUAAAUCUUAUGAGAGUCACUUUAGUACUUGGGAAGGCUUGUCAGUCAGAUAAAGUACUUGAAGAGGAAUGGAAUAUAUUAAAUUUAUAAAUGCUGCUUAAAAUGUUAAAGAGGUUUAAUUAACUAAGUGUAUAAAUGGGACCAAACAUUAAUCAAAAUCCCUCUCAGAGUGAUUGUUAAUAUUUGUUAGACUUAUAAAUAGGAUAAUAAGCUUCCUAAGCUGAUUUUGAAAGCUGAAGGAAGGGCAAUGCAUUUCUGAAUCUCUAUUUUCAAUAAAUCAAAUACUAAUUUUCAAGACCCAAGUAGAGCUAUGCAUGGUCUUUUCUGUGCACCAGAGCUACCUUCAAGGAAUAAAAAACUCCUCUAAGCAGUGAGUGAGUCUUCAGUGAUGCCGAAGGGAGCAGGGUGAGUGGAACUGGAGAAAGGGAAAUAAGAUUUCAGGGUCAUCAGGAUUGUCUCGUUCCCAGGGUCAGGCUAGUUAGUUUAUCCCACCCAAUGCCAAAUUGCUCAGGUCGCAGGGAGACACUAAGUGAGACACUAAGUAAGUACCGUGUGCAGGGUCAGAGUCGCUGACCAAGGUGUUUGGCAACGCAGCGGGGGAGGUCUGGGUGGCCUUGGGCCCCUCGCCGCCCCCUCAGAAAGCCCUUCUAGAGAGCCCUGCUCUCUUGGGUGUAAGUUAUUCCUCAAGUGAUUUCCCCUGGGCAGGAGGUGUUCGUGGGAGAGGCCGAGGUUUUUGUCUUCCAGGGGUGUUUGCAGCCCAGGGCCAGUGAAUGUGCAUCAAUCAAAAUGCUCGUAUGGACCUCAAAGAAGCAAGUUCCAGCCAAUUUAAGCAGAAACAGCUGUCGAAAGCCACUCAGAGCCACUGGGAAGUGGCAUCAUGUUGAUAGCUUGAUCAGCCAUAGCGGGAGUAUCUACACCACAGAAAUGAGCAGACACUGCAGACUAGGUCUCCCAUCCCUUAACAGCAGACUGAUCAAUUUAUAUCAGGACACCACUGCUUAUAAGAAGACGGAUGACUCGAUUUCCCAUCCUCAGGCUGUGCGAGUCCCUGGAGAGGACCCGGCAGAUGCGAGAGGAAGAAGACGGAAGUCCUCCGGAGAACUGACCCAGCCUUGAAGGCAAAACCCGAAUAUUAAGAGUAAAUGAGGAGGUGAUGGACAGGGGAAUAAAACAGGAGAAUGAAGGAUUUA